UACGUAGGCGGGAAAUUAAGUCAGUAGUGAAAUCCUGCAGCUUAACUGUAGAACUGUUAUUGAUACUGGUUUUCUUGAAUAUAGUUGAGGUAGGCGGAAUGUGUAAUGUAGCGGUGAAAUGCUUAGAUAUUACACAGAACACCGAUUGCGAAGGCAGCUUACUAAGCUAUGAUUGACGCUGAGGUACGAAAGCGUGGGGAGCGAACAGGAUUAGAUACCCUGGUAGUCC
rnacentral:rRNA from 1 species